rnacentral:rRNA from 1 species
GACGAACCGUGCGAACGUUGUUCGGAAUCACUGGGCUUAAAGGGCGCGUAGGCGGAUCAGCAAGUCCGGGGUGAAAUCCUCCGGCUUAACCGGAGAAGUGCCUUGGAUACUGCUGGUCUCGAGGGAGGUAGGGGUCAUGGGAACUUCUGGUGGAGCGGUGAAAUGCGUUGAUAUCAGAAGGAACGCCGGUGGCGAAAGCGCAUGACUGGAUCUCUUCUGACGCUGAGGCGCGAAAGCUAGGGGAGCGAAC